UGUCGCACGAUGACGAUGUUUGCUCGUAAAAUAUUAACCGUUAUUUAAUAAACAUUUUAUUUAACUUCGAGGCUACAAAAUGAUAGUGCUGAUAGGUUAUACGAAGAGUUUUAUUCGAGGAUAACAUUGAUUUUAUUUUAAAACGCAUAAAAAUUAGGGCGCGUUUUAAACAAGUUCUAGAGAAACAUUUACUUGGAAGAAGCUUUAAAAUGUAAGUGCGGUCCCAGGAGUGCAGCACGAGCGUCGCCAGCGCCACUCCCGGCUGCGAUGCAACACAACACAAACACGCUGCUACUUUACAUUCCUCCGCCGAUGCUUAUGGAAAUAUCGUUCAGAUGCCGGCUGGCAUUGUGUUACUCUGUACAUUGUAAGUGAGCCGCGCUUUAAGUAACCAUUCUCCUCACAACCGAGCCAUUUGAGCGAAAACGUUCAUGUAGAAUCAGAAAAAGAGUGAUCGAUGUAGUAUUUGCAAAUUUAUAUAUAUUGAAGCUGAACACUCGGUCCAUUGAUACUUUAAUGUAUGCUAAAAGGUGAUCGUGAUAGGAUUCCAUUUGUGAUAUUAUAAACAACAACAAAUAACAUAGUGAUAAAGAAAAAGGCAACAGCGGAGGCCGAAUAAGCAACAAAAGCAAAUCGGCCAGGCACGAAUACAAUGCGCACGCUACAAACGUAUCUGAGCGGUCACAGAUAACACGGGCGCGCUGCCAAACCGCGGACAAACGAUCACAGCGCUGAUAAUCACCAACUAUGUCAUUAUCAUCUUUGUUUUUAUUAUUUAACAUCUACGCACAUGAUAGAAAACGUAUUCGUAUGGGCUCGGGAUGAUGUUGCAUCACUUAUUUGAAACGUGUAUUAUAUUUAAAGACUCCUUUGAUAACUACUUUAGUUAGACUAAAAUAAAUAAGGUUAAGUUAUAAAUGUGAAGUGUACCUAAAGUAAAUAGCUAAAUUUGUGAACCGACUCCGUGUUCAAAGCGGUUCGCAUUCAAACGAUUUAUGUGGGCGCCACAAUAACAAACAUUACAUUUAAGUUGCGGCCGUAAAAGCUGAAAGUUGGAGCCAUUUCCAGUGCUCGUCGUAGUCGCGCACAAUUGUUGUGUGACAAUGUUCACGCUGUGCACCACGCCACUAAUUAAACCGAAUUGCAUAACAAUGAGAGCGAUCUGAAUUAUGUGUUAUUAAUAUAGAGUCCGGAAGCACUGCACUAGCGAGCCUUAACACCGCUACAAUGUUCAUAUGUGCAGUUAUUUCACUAGCGUUUACUUUUAACAUAGACGCAGCAACACUCAAUAACCCAGCUAAUAACUUAGAAAGCAAAUCAAUAGGGGGGAAGGAAACAGGGACAACAAAUAUUAUACAUUUCACUGUUUGUUGAAAUUCUGUAUCUAGAAUGCGGCUGCAGGAGAGUAAGAGAGCACAAGGAAGCAUAAUUAGCAAAGUAUGGCGACCGCAAUCGUAAAUUCCUGGCGCAACAUGCCAGCGCGCGCGGUGCUGCGUCCUGGCAUUGUCACAUUAGUCGCUGGAAUGAUUAGAUCUCGAAUUCGUCUCAAUAUUGCUUAGUUAUACAAUUUUUAUUUUUAAAUAAAGCAACAGUUUAAAUGA